GUGGAACAGAGCUCAAGGAGAGCAAAGAGAGCAGAGAGCCCCAAGGGACUCAGCACUCAGAGGCACUCCAGAGAGCCUGGUAGUGUGUCCUGCUGUGCACACCAUGAAGGUAUGACACACAACACAAAGGAGUCCUGUGCUAUUCAGCAUAUAAAUGAAAGCUGGCAAAGAUACCAUAAGAUAACUGAAACAGCAGUGUGUGGACAAAUGGAAAAGCCCUCCAGUGACUGUGUUGGGAGUUCAGACAUCUGAACCACAGGGGUGCUUGUAUCACAUGGAGCACGUGUGUAGACUGUUCAUAAAUAUCUGUGUCACUUCCAUCAUGCAUGUACAUGCCCAGAGUAAACAGAAUAUGUAACACCUGAGGCUGGCAUCAAAAGGUGAAAUAUUUCACAUCCUAUGUAUGGGUCAAACAAGGGUUUAUUGCAAGAAGAAGAAGAAGAAGAAGAAGAAGAAGAAGAAGAAGAAGAAGAAGAAGAAGAAGUAGUAGCUUUUACUACUGUCUGGGAGGAUCCUGAAGAUUUGCCAAGAUGGCACAUCAGACUGAGCAGACUUCUGGUCAAAGAGAAUGUGUUCAUUAGUAAAGCCAUCAAUGAAUACUAAGCCUUUUGAGAGAGGGAGAAGGCUGGGACUCCUUUCAAAACUGCCUGCCCGUGUGAGGAACUGAAGCUGCAGGAGGAAAGAAUGGUAUUAAUGCCAAGUUCCAGAGCAAAAGAGGACUUUAGAAGAUGUGGGAUGCUCCACAUUUCUCAGAGGCCUGGUUUUCCUGAGUGGAAAAGAUAAGAGGUUGGGAUCACUCCUAGCCAUGGAGAAAUUGGAGGUGGCUUCACUGGCCUGGAGAUGAGGGGAACUUUAUCUCAUUAGAAGAAGUGAAGUUGGCAAGUUCCAUGGAGAAGAAGGUGUCAAUGUCCUGGUGCUGCCAAAUGCAAAAGAAAGAAGAUGAUGCAAAAUGUCAGCACAGUGGCAAAACCCCUUCUGAACUCUGGGAAAAAUAAGCAAGCCUGUCUCCGUGGAAAAGUCAAAAUGCUAAACCAGGGUAAAAGGUUUUUUGUCUGAGGAAACUUUGUAAUCUUGAAAUUUAUACUUAGAGAAAUACAACUGGCAGAGGGUGGGGUCAUGCAUUUGCCUUUGCUGUCAAAAACAGCUAAAAUAUUUUUUGCCAUUUCUAUGUUCAAGUGAAUACAUGAAUAAAUAGAGGAACAUAAGGCUCGACAGACAUUUAUUUCUUGCUAUCUAUUUACAGGUACAACACUAAAAUCCUUGAGAUCAGGUUCAAGAUAACAAAAUGAGGA